rnacentral:rRNA from 1 species
UUUAAUGAGAGUUUGAUCCUGGCUCAGGACGAACGCUGGCGGCGUGCCUAAUACAUGCAAGUAGAACGCUGAAGAGAGGAGCUUGCUCUUCUUGGAUGAGUUGCGAACGGGUGAGUAACGCGUAGGUAACCUGCCUGGUAGCGGGGGAUAACUAUUGGAAACGAUAGCUAAUACCGCAUAAAAUUGAUUAUUGCAUGAUAAUUGAUUGAAAGAUGCAAUUGCAUCACUACCAGAUGGACCUGCGUUGUAUUAGCUAGUUGGUGAGGUAACGGCUCACCAAGGCGACGAUACAUAGCCGACCUGAGAGGGUGAUCGGCCACACUGGGACUGAGACACGGCCCAGACUCCUACGGGAGGCAGCAGUAGGGAAUCUUCGGCAAUGGGGGGAACCCUGACCGAGCAACGCCGCGUGAGUGAAGAAGGUUUUCGGAUCGUAAAGCUCUGUUGUAAGAGAAGAACGGGUGUGAGAGUGGAAAGUUCACACUGUGACGGUAUCUUACCA